rnacentral:rRNA from 1 species
CUUGGUCAUUUAGAGGAAGUAAAAGUCGUAACAAGGUUUCCGUAGGUGAACCUGCGGAAGGAUCAUUAUAGAGAACUUGCCCUUCGGGGUAGAUCUCCCACCCUUUGUUUACAUUACCUUUGUUGCUUUGACAGGCCCGCCUCUCGGGGCCGCCGGCUCCGGCUGGUCAGUGCUUGUCAGAGGAUUUAAAACUCUUGUUUAAUUGUCGUCUGAGUACUAUAUAAUAGUUAAAACUUUCAACAACGGAUCUCUUGGUUCUGGCAUCGAUGAAGAACGCAGCGAAAUGCGAUAAGUAAUGUGAAUUGCAGAAUUCAGUGAAUCAUCGAAUCUUUGAACGCACAUUGCGCCCUCUGGUAUUCCGGGGGGCAUGCCUGUUCGAGCGUCAUUACAACCCUCAAGCUCUGCUUGGUAUUGGGCGUCACCCUCUGGGGUGCGCCUUAAAAUCAGUGGCGGUGCCACUCGGCUUCAAGCGUAGUAAUUCUUCUCGCUCUGGAGGACCGGGUGUGUGCUAGCCAGCAACCCCCAAUUUUUUAAGGUUGACCUCGGAUCAGGUAGGGAUACCCGCUGAACUUAAGCAUAUCAAUAAGCGGAGGA